rnacentral:lncRNA from 10 species
GUCUCACUGGCUACAUAUUACGUAUUAACUCUCUGGUGAACUUUUCAGAAAAUACUGGUGAUCGUUUCCAAAUUAAAUGAAUCUGAAUCUCUAGGGGUGGGACUUGGGCAUUAAUACUUUUGAAAAUGUCCCAUAUGAUUCUAAUAUGCAGCUGGAAUUGAGAAUCACUUAAGUUUUACAGAGAGUCUGACCCAAGGAACACGAAUGAUCUUGUGGCUUAUGUUCUGGAAGAUGCCACUGCAGAUGUACUACCAGCAGAUGGCAGAAGAGGGAAAUUAAAAACAGGCCGGACGCUAGCCCUGAUUAAGAAGCACACCGGACACCAAAAGGAAUCUUUAAGGACUGAAGAAUUUCUUAAAAUUAUUCUCAAGGAUUGGUGUGGAGUUUUCUGGCUUUUCCUGAAAUUCAUACUUGGGUCUGAUAUUUGGGAAGUUCAAUGCAUGCAACCGAGGCAAGGGAGCACUGAGAAGCUCGAAGAUGAUCUGGUGAUUUCAAAGGCUGCUGUUGAAAAGGAGUAAAGGAUGUGGAGUCCUUCUUCUUCCCCUCCUGGUUCUCUGCAGGCCCCCUAUGAUGGAAGAACACUAAGCUACACGUCUGAGUAGAACAAACAAAAGCAGAGUAGCAGCAUUUGGGAAGAGACAAGGAUAUGGGGAGAAAGUGGGAGACUUCUUCUAACCCAGCCUGCUUCUAGGAACUUUCUUAGCUGGUCCAAACCUGGUUCUGGAAAGAAAAGAACAAACUGGUUUACCAAAGCUCUGAGUAAGGGCUAUCAGGACAGCUGCACAGGGAGAAAAACAGAGUUCUGGGACCUACGGAUUAAAGCAGAUUCUCGAAUUUUUUGUUGGCAUCAAGAAACAUCUGAAGGCCUUGUCUCUUUCAAACAAAAGCAAAAAAGCCCUGCAGAUUACAAAUUCCCAGGUCCCACUCCUAGAGAUGCUGAUUUCGGCUCAGGAAUUUGUCUAUUUUUUUUAAAGCUAGGGCCCUAGGUAAUUCUGAGAAAGACUCACAGACUAUGCUCUGAGAAACCUUAGAAUGAAG